rnacentral:rRNA from 1 species
UACGGAGGGUGCAAGCGUUAUCCGGAUUCACUGGGUUUAAAGGGUGCGUAGGCGGGCAGGUAAGUCAGUGGUGAAAUCUCCGGGCUUAACCCGGAAACUGCCGUUGAUACUAUCUGUCUUGAAUAUCGUGGAGGUAAGCGGAAUAUGUCAUGUAGCGGUGAAAUGCUUAGAUAUGACAUAGAACACCGAUAGCGGAGGCAGCUUACUACGCGAUUAUUGACACUGAGGCACGAAAGCGUGGGGAUCAAACAGG